AGAGUUUGAUCCUGGCUCAGAUUGAACGCUGGCGGCAUGCCUUACACAUGCAAGUCGAACGGCAGCGCGUCCUUCGGGAUGGCGGCGAGUGGCGAACGGGUGAGUAAAGCAUCGGAACGUGCCCGGUAGUGCGGGAUAGCUCGGCGAAAGCCGGAUUAAUACCGCAUGAGAUCCGUGGAUGAAAGCAGGGGACCCGCAAGGGCCUUGCGCUACUGGAGCGGUCGAUGUCAGAUUAGGUAGUUGGUGGGGUAAAGGCCCACCAAGCCUGCGAUCUGUAGCUGGUCUGAGAGGAUGAUCAGCCACAUCGGGACUGAGACACGGCCCGAACUCCUACGGGAGGCAGCAGUGGGGAAUUUUGGACAAUGGGCGCAAGCCUGAUCCAGCCAUGCCGCGUGCAGGAUGAAGGCCUUCGGG
rnacentral:rRNA from 1 species